rnacentral:rRNA from 1 species
UUUUUGAGUCUCAUUUUGCAUCUCGGCAAUCUCUUUCUGAUUGUCCAGUUGCAUUUUAGUAAGCUCUUUUUGAUUCUCAAAUCCGGCGUCAACCAUACCAGCAGAGGAAGCAUCAGCACCAGCACGCUCCCAAGCAUUAAGCUCAGGAAAUGCAGCAGCAAGAUAAUCACGAGUAUCCUUUCCUUUAUCAGCGGCAGACUUGCCACCAAGUCCAACCAAAUCAAGCAACUUAUCAGAAACGGCAGAAGUGCCAGCCUGCAACGUACCUUCAAGAAGUCCUUUACCAGCUUUAGCCAUAGCACCAGAAACAAAACUAGGGACGGCCUCAUCAGGGUUAGGAACAUUAGAGCCU